GCCUGGCUUUCGUAUUCGUUGUUCUCGGCGGGCUGUGGGGCCUCCGCGCCGCGGCCGUUAGUCAUGUCGGAUUCUGGAAGUUACGGUCAGUCUGGGGGUGAGCAGCAAAGUUAUUCUACCUAUGGAAAUCCAGGCAGCCAAGGCUAUGGACAAGCAUCACAAAGCUAUUCUGGCUAUGGGCAAACGACUGAUUCCUCUUAUGGACAGAACUACAGCGGUU
rnacentral:misc_RNA from 1 species